GCCAUUAUCAUUAUUUUCACUUCAUCUUCAUCACGAAACAAAACAAAAGAAAACAAAGAAACAAAGCUAGGGUAUUCGGCCAUUGUUGAGCUUGAUUCAAGAUCGAGAAUCGAAGAAACCAGAAUUAGAUCGAGGGAAGUCGAAAGUGGUUGAUUAGUCAAUUUCGUCUGUCGAUUUCCGAGUUCGAUGACAGACACGGGUUAAGGGUGUUACAUGGAACAUAUAGAGAAGCCCAUCUACUUGAAGCCUUGUGACCCAAUGGAGCACUUCAGUAAAACUAGAGUUACUAUGGUUAAUAUUUGUGAACUUAAGAGAUAAGAUUGUAUAGAGUUUAAAUCCCUUAGGACUCUCAUCUUGUAGAUAAGCUUUAAUCUUAACUGUCAAUGUAAUUUAAACUGUAUUGUUGGAUUUGGGAGAGCUUAACCAUAUUUAGAGGCCUUGCCUCUCAAUUGUAAUCCCAUUCAUAAUUAUUGAAUAUAUUUGAGAGCAUUUACUCAAA